GAUCAUGGCUCAGGAUGAACGCUAGCGACAGGCUUAACACAUGCAAGUCGAGGGGCAGCAUGGUCUUAGCUUGCUAAGACUGAUGGCGACCGGCGCACGGGUGAGUAACACGUAUCCAACCUGCCGUCUACUCUUGGACAGCCUUCUGAAAGGAAGACUAAUACAAGAUGGCAUCAUGAGUCCGCAUGUUCACAUGAUUAAAGGUAUUCCGGUAGACGAG
rnacentral:rRNA from 1 species